UACGUAGGGUGCAAGCGUUAAUCGGAAUUACUGGGCGUAAAGCGUGCGCAGGCGGUUUUGUAAGUCAGAUGUGAAAUCCCCGGGCUUAACCUGGGAACUGCGAUUUGAAACUACAAGGCUAGAGUGUGACAGAGGGGGGUGGAAUUCCACGUGUAGCAGUGAAAUGCGUAGAGAUGUGGAGGAACACCGAUGGCGAAGGCAGCCCCCUGGGUUAACACUGACGCUCAGGCACGAAAGCGUGGGGAGCAAACAGG
rnacentral:rRNA from 1 species